AAUGGCGCCACUAGGGUUGUGU
rnacentral:ncRNA from 2 species